AAAAUUUUAAGAGCUCUGUGACAGGAACUGGGACGAAGACCAAAGAUAGAUGUCUUAUUUUACCACAGUGUCACAUUGGCCAAGCCCUUGAUGUUCCAGCUGUCACAGUUAGACACCAGACUUGUGGGAAAACCUGUCUUGAAUUCCCAGCCGCAGGCAAAGAGCUGUCCUGCUAAGUCCAGCGAACCCAAAUUGCACAACUGUCUUGAGAUCAUCCUGCAUGGACCCCAUCGCUGGUGAGCGUUUUUCUGCCCCUGAAAUCCUUUUAAGCCUGGGGAAAAGAGAGUAAGGAGGAAGUGGAAUGUGAAAGCAGCAAUCAGCUGGAAAUUCUGUCAGAUAAACAAUGAACGUGUAAUACUUAGGAAUACUGAGGAGCUUCAAGAUGGCGGAAGGGUAAGACGCGGAGAUCACCUUCGUCUCCACAAAUACAUCAGAAAU